rnacentral:rRNA from 1 species
AGUGAACGCUGGCGGCAGGCCUAACACAUGCAAGUCGAGCGGCAGCGCGGGGGCAACCCUGGCGGCGAGCGGCGGACGGGUGAGGAAUACAUCGGAAUCUGCCUUGUUGUGGGGGAUAACGUAGGGAAACUUACGCUAAUACCGCAUGAGACCGUAAGGUGAAAGUGGGGGAUCGCAAGACCUCACGCGACAAGAUGAGCCGAUGUCGGAUUAGCUAGUUGGUGAGGUAAGGCUCACCAAGGCAACGAUCCGUAGCUGGUCUGAGAGGAUGAUCAGCCACAUUGGGACUGAGACACGGCCCAGACUCCUACGGGAGGCAGCAGUGGGGAAUAUUGGACAAUGGGCGCAAGCCUGAUCCAGCCAUGCCGCGUGUGUGAAGAAGGCCU